GCCGAGAUAGCUCAGCC
rnacentral:tRNA from 6 species